GAUGAAGAACGCAGCGAAAUGCGAUAAGUAAUGCGAAUUGCAGAAUUCAGUGAAUCAUCGAAUCUUUGAACGCACAUUGCGCCCGCCAGUAUUCUGGCGGGCAUGCCUGUUCGAGCGUCAUUUCAACCAUCAAGCCCCCGGCUUGUGUUGGGGACCUGCGGCUGCCGCAGGCCCUGAAAACCAGUGGCGGGCUCGCUGUCACACCGAGCGUAGUAGAUUUUCAUCUCGCUCAGGGCGUGCUGCGGGUUCCGGCCGUAAAAAGCCUUAUUUACCCAAGGUUGACCUCGGAUCAGGUAGGAAGACCCGCUGAACUUAAGCAUAUCAAUAAGCGGAGGA
rnacentral:misc_RNA from 1 species